UAAUAUAUCGGAACGUGCCCAAGAGUGGGGAUAGCCCGGCGAAAGUCGGAUUAAUACCGCAUACGAUCUAUGGAUGAAAGCGGGGGAUCGCAAGACCUCGCGCUCCUGGAGCGGCCGAUAUCUGAUUAGCUAGUUGGCGGGGUAAAAGCCCACCAAGGCGACGAUCAGUAGCUGGUUUGAGAGAACGACCAGCCACACUGGGACUGAGACACGGCCCAG
rnacentral:rRNA from 1 species